AUGGACUAGAUCAGCACUCGAAAACAAUGUCCACAAACCUUUGGCUUCCUGUGAUUUUUCUUCCUAAAAACUAAAAGCCAACUAAGGGUCUAUUCGUUAAUCCCAAUCCAUAUGGAUUGGAGGGGAUUGAGUGGGUUCAAAUCACCAGCUAGUUAAAAACUUUCUUAAUUUUUUCAAUCCACUACAAUCCAUAUGGGAUGAGAAUAAGCGAACAAGAGCCUAAGAAAUACCCAUUCCAUUUGCUUCUGGGGAAAAAAAUUUGGGAAUAUUUUAUUUGUCACAACAGGACUUCAAAUUGCUAUCUGUUAUCCUCGUUGCACAAAGAGAUUACUAAUCCAAGAGACUAAUAGUUUGUAGGUUUGGCGUAUCACUUGACUGAGCCAACUUGCCACAAUGUCCCUUAUUCUUCGAUCAGCUUCACGCGGCAUGCUACAAUUAGCAGUUGCUUCAGUAUUUACAACUUAUAAACAGUAGUGUAUAUAAAUCAAUCCAGAGUUCUUU